UACAGAGGUCUCGAGCGUUAGGCGGAAUCACUGGGCUUAAAGCGUGUGUAGGCGGCUCUGUAAGUACCUUGUGAAAUCCCACGGCUUAACCGUGGAACUGCUUGGUAUAUUGCGGGUCUUGAGCCACCUAGGGGCGAGCGGAACAGAUAGUGGAGCGGUGAAAUGCGUAGAGAUCGGGAGGAACACCGGUGGCGAAGGCGGGUCUCUGGGCAAUUCCUGACGCUGAGGCGCGAAAGCGUGGGGAGCAAACGGG
rnacentral:rRNA from 1 species